AGACCCGAAACCCGGUGAUCUAGCCAUGGGCAGGUUGAAGGUUGGGUAACACUAACUGGAGGACCGAACCGACUAAUGUUGAAAAAUUAGCGGAUGACCUGUGGCUGGGGGUGAAAGGCCAAUCAAACCGGGAGAUAGCUGGUUCUCCCCGAAAGCUAUUUAGGUAGCGCCUCGUGAAUUCAUCUCCGGGGGUAGAGCACUGUUUCGGCUAGGGGGCCAUCCCGGCUUACCAACCCGAUGCAAACUGCGAAUACCGGAGAAUGUUAUCACGGGAGACACACGGCGGGUGCUAACGUCCGUCGUGAAGAGGGAAACAACCCAGACCGCCAGCUAAGGUCCCAAAGUCAUGGUUAAGUGGGAAACGAUGUGGGAAGGCCCAGACAGCCAGGAUGUUGGCUUAGAAGCAGCCAUCAUUUAAAGAAAGCGUAAUAGCUCACUGGUCGAGUCGGCCUGCGCGGAAGAUGUAACGGGGCUAAACCAUGCACCGAAGCUGCGGCAGCGACGCUUAUGCGUUGUUGGGUAGGGGAGCGUUCUGUAAGCCUGUGAAGGUGGCCUGUGAGGGUUGCUGGAGGUAU
rnacentral:rRNA from 1 species